UAGGGUCCCUUUUUAUAUCUAACCUAUAUAUAUAAAUAGGUUCUCUUUUUUGGGUUCUUUUGGGGGUAUCGUAUUUUUUACAUAGAUUAAGAGAGAGUGAGCUGCGAUUGUAAGGGGGAUAUUUUCUCUUUGGGGUUUACUGAUUGUAACAGAGAGAUAGGGAGCAGGAUUGUUAGAAAGAGAUGCUUGUGUGUUAGAGAUUUAAUUGUGUUUGUGCAUCGUGUAGAUGCUUGAAGGAGAGGAAUCUGAGUUGCAAGCUGGAGUAAUCUUGCCAUUGUUGUAAAGAGAUUUGUUACUGUAUAUUUAUGAGUUGAUAGUGGAAAGAGCUCAACUAGAAGUAGGCCAUUAAUAUUGGGGCCGAACCAGUAUAAUUUUCUGUGUUGGUUUCUUGUUCUUUAAUUGUUUAUUCUUGUUUUAUUACUUCUCUGUUCUUGUUCUGGUUUGUUUAGAUUGCAGGUUGGUACUUUGAGUCUUGGUGUUGGGUUUUUAAUCCCAACAAAUCAGAGCCAGGUUCGAUCCUUGAAAGAUAAUCAAGACUCAUCAAGAUUUGGGGUGAAACAUCAUGUCUUCAUCUUCCAAGUUCAAUUCUUCCUCAACCAAGUUUGAAUUGGAAAAUUUUGAUGGCACAAGUGACUUCAGCCUCAUUGAAAGAGUAAUUGCUGAUGUGAGAUCCGAGGAGAGAAAGUUUAAAGGGAGUUCUCGUUCAUCAGAGAAUAUCAAAAGUCCUUGGAGAUUCAAAGGUGUUGGCAGAGAAGUACAAAACUGAAGAAAUUGAGGAUAUGGAGAAGUUAGCCUAUUAUACCAUCAUUAUGUACCUCUCAAACAAUGUGACGAGACAAGUGCAAACUGAGAAGAUGGCAAAAGGGCUUUGGCAAAAACUAUAACAACUAUAUAUGAGACCUUCUUUAACAAAUAAGAUCAAUUUGCUUGAAAGACUUUAUGGUUUUAAAAUGAAUUCUGCACUUUCCCUUGAUGAUAAUAUUGAUUGCUUUAAGAAAAUUAUUAUUAGUCUUGCUAACAUUGAUUAUACUGUAGAUUAGGAAAGCAAGGCAGUUAUCAUUUUGAAUUAUUUACCAGAAACAUACAAAGAGGUUAAAGCUGUGAUCAAGUAUGGUCGAGAUACAAUAACAUUGGAGGAGUUUCUUGGUGCUUUGAAAUCAAAGGAGUUUGAAUUAAAGGCUGAGAAAGAAAACAAGGCAGAGGAGGCACUUUUCUCACAAGGAAGACCAAUGAAGAAGGAUUAUCACAAAGACAGACACUUCUCCAAGAAUCGUGAUAUAUCAAGAUCCAAAUGGAAGUCACCAGCGCGAUCAAAAUCUAGGGGUCGUGACAUGAGGAAAUGUUAUCAUUGUGGUAAGACAGGGCAUGUUCAAAGAUUUUUUUGGGAAUUAAAGAAGGAAAGAAGAGAAGAAAAGAAAAGAAACCUGAUACUUCAGCAUUGGCGAAUAGCAGCGAUCUCGAAAAUUCUGAUGGGGAUCUCUUAACUAUUUCUACUGAGAGAAAUGUUAAAGAAUGGAUUAUGGAUUCUAGUAGCACAUAUCAUAUGUGCCCAGUCCGAGAAUGGUUUAUAAAUUCAAAGAGAUUCAUGGAGGUAAAGUCAAGAUGGGAAAUGACCAAGCUUGUCAAGUUCAAGGAAUAGGUUCAAUACCUACCAAGCAUUUUGAUGGCACCGUUCGAAUAUUGGAGAAUGUACGCUACAUUCCAGAAUUGAAGAGAAAUUUGAUUUCUCUUGGAACAUUUGAUGACCAAGGAUUGACAUACAAAGCUGUGAAUGGAAGCCUGAAAGUUAGUUCAGGUUCAAUGGUGAUAAUGAAAGGCAUUAAAAAGUAUGGGUUAUAUGUUUUGAUUGGGGGAAUAGUAGAAGAUGGUGAAGCUGCUAUAGCUAAACACAAGAGUGCAGAAACUGAGUUAUGGCAUAGCCGUUUGGGGCACAUUAGCGAGAAGGGUAUCAAAGAGCUGAACAAACAGGGCUACUUGGGAAGUUCAAACUAGGAGCAUUAAAAUUCUGUGAAACACGUGUAAGAGGAAAGUAACAAAAAAUCAAAUUUGCACCAGGAAAGCUCAGGACAACAAAGGUUCUUGAAUAUAUACAUGCUGAUCUUUGGGGCGCAAGUAGAGUUUCAACACAUGGAGGUAAUCGAUAUUUUCUUUCAAUUGUUGAUGAUUUCAGUAGAAAAACUUGGGUAUAUUUGCUGAAAGCGAAAUCUGAUUGCUUGAACAAAUUUAUAACUUGGAAGACAUUAAUUGAAAAUAAAAUGGACACUAAAAUAAAAACUUUGACAACCGAUAAUGGGCUGGAAUUUAUUAACCAUAACUUUAAUAAGUUAUGCAAUGAAAAUGGAAUAGAAAGACAUAGGACUGUUACUUAUACACCCCAACAAAAUGGGGUGGCUGAGAGAAUGAAUCGAACAGUGCUUAAUAAAGUUAGAUGCAUGCUUCUUAGCUCUGGAUUAUCUAAAAACAUUUGGGGUGAAGCUUUGUAUACAACUUGUUAUAUUAUAAAUAGAAGUCCUAACAGAAGUAUUGAGUGCAUGACGCUUGAAGAAAGAUGGAGUGGAAAGUCUCCAAGUCUAUUGCACAUGAAGACCUUUGGAUGUGCUGCCUAUGCUCACAAGUCAGAUGAAAAACUAGGUGCAAGAUCAGUAAGAUGUAUAUUUUGGGUUAUCCUGAUGGUAUAAAAGGAUAUAGGUUAUGUUCAUUAGAAGAUAAAUAUUUCAAAGUCAUUAUUAGUAGAAAUGUUAUAUUUGAUGAGACUAAUUUUCCUCACUUAGAUAAAGUGAGGGGUAAGUUUUCUAAUGAUACAGGUAUCCAAGAUUCAGAUAAAAGCAUGACAGAAUUCUUGCUUGACUUACCUUAUCACAGUGACAAAGAAGAAGCCAGUAAAGGUGUUGAAACUCAAACUGAAGUCAGUACAGAAAUUGUUGAAACUACACAACCAUUGAGAGAUGAUGUAGAUGACUACCAGCUGGUUAGAGAUAGAGCCAACCGAAUAAUAAGGCCUACAAAGAAAUAUGGUGAAGCUGACCUUUUGGCAUUUUCUUUGAAUAUGACAAAUCAAUGUGAGCAACAUGAGCCGAGUACAUAUGAAGAAGCAAUAGAAGGGAAUUCUGCAGUAAAAUGGCAGCAAGCAAUGAAAGAAGAAAUGGAUUAUCUUGCAAAAAAUGAGACUUAGGAGUUAGUUGGGAAACCAGAAAAUAAGAAGAUCAUAUCAUGCAAAUCGAUAUACAAAAUCAAGGAAGGAUCCAAGGAUGGGGAACCAGCUAGAUUCAAAGCAAGAUUGGUUGCUAAAGGCUUUACACAAGAAGAAGGGGUAGACUACACAGAUAUCUUCUCGCCAGUAGCUAAAUUUAAAACAAUCAGAUUAAUUCUAUCACUAGCUGCUACUUCCAAUUUGGAGGUGGAACAAAUAGACGUAAAGACUGCAUUUCUCCAUGGGAAUCUUGAAGAAACAAUUUAUAUGGAACAACCUAUCGGAUUCAAGGUGGAAAAUCAAAGGAAAGAGCUGGUAUGUAAAUUGAAAAAAUAUUUAUAUGGGCUCAAGCAAUCUCCAAGACAGUGGAAUAAGAGGAAAUCAAAGAAAGAAGUGGUAUUUUUGAGAGAAAGGCAAAGAAAAUGGCACCUCCAGCACUAGGCCCAAAGCCCACCUGCCCAGGCCCAAUUUCAGCUUCAGCACCCCACCCCACGGUUUCCUCCUGGUGCACUUCCUCCUUUAGCCAAUGCACUCAUGCACCUGGCACCAAGCAGCCAUCACCUCCUCAUCCCCCACCGAAGACUCUCCCAGCAGCAAGCCAACCUCACGCCUGCUAGCCAAAUGCCACUGCCAGCACCAAAAGCACACCCAAGCCAAUUCGGCCCAGCUGUUUUUUCCCAUUUAUUGAGCCCAACAAAAAGCAAAAUGUACCAUUGUCCCCUUUGUCAAAAAUGUCAACAUUUUUACCCCACUUUCUACACAUUUUAUCCCCAAAAUAUCAUUAUUACAACCUAUAAUUUACUCAUAUUUGCCAUAUUAUAAUUAAUUAUAUUAAUUUAAUCAAUUUAAUUAUUUUAAAUUGAUUAUUUUAAUGCCCAUUUUUUGGCUAUAAAUAAGGGAUUUGGGGUGCAAAAUUUAAGAGAGGUUACUCUACCAUAAUUUCUACACAUUCAAAACCUUUCUGUUCUCUUCA